AUUGAACGCUGGCGGCAGGCUUAACACAUACAAGUCGAACGAGUGGCGGACGGGUGAGUAAUGCUUGGGAAUCUAGCUUAUGGAGGGGGAUAACUACGGGAAACUGUAGCUAAUACCGCGUACCAUAGGAUGAGACCCAGUGGGAUUAGGUAGUUGGUGAGGUAAAGGCUCACCAGGCCGACGCUACCUAGCUUGUCUGAGAGGAUGACCAGCCACACUGGGACUGAGCCACGGCCCAGACGCCUACGUGAGGCAGCAGUGGGGAAUAUUGCGCAAUGGGGGCAACCUGACGCAGCCAUGCCGCGUGAAUGAAGAAGGCCUUCGGGUUGUAAAGUUCUUUCGGUAGCGAGGCGUUAACUACAGAAGAAUCACCGGCUAACUCCGGGCCAGCAGCCGCGGUAAUAC
rnacentral:rRNA from 1 species